GAUGAACGCUGGCGGCGUGCCUAAUACAUGCAAGUCGAGCGAACAGAUGAGGAGCUUGCUCCUCUGACGUUAUCGGCGGACGGGUGAGUAACACGUGGAUAACCUACCUAUAAGACUGGGAUAACUUCGGGAAACCGGAGCUAAUACCGGAUAAUAUAUUGAACCGCAUGGUUCAAUAGUGAAAGACGGUUUUGCUGUCACUUAUAGAUUGAUCCGCGCCGCAUGAGCUAGUUGGUAAGGUAACGGCUUACCAAGGCAACGAUGCGUAGCCGACCUGAGAGGGUGAAUGGACACACGGGAACAGAGAAAGGGUACAGACACCGAGGGGAGGCAGCAGUAGGGAAUCUUCCGGGAUGGGCGAGAGCCGGACGGAGCAACGCCGCGUGAGUGAUGAAGGUCUUCGGAUCGGAAAACUAUGUUAUUAGGGAAGAACAAAUGUGUAAGUAACUAUGCACGUCUUGACGGUACCUAAUCAGAAAGCCACGGCUAACUACGUG
rnacentral:rRNA from 1 species